rnacentral:lncRNA from 1 species
UUCAAUAACCAUCAACUCGCCCCGACCUUCUAACUCGAUCAACAGCUCCAACUCAUCAAAAUCCAUCAAAUCGACCCGCAACCAACCCAUCUUAAUCCUCUUCACGCGUCCUACGCAAUAUUAUACCAUGAAAGAUCCGAGAAGCUUCUAGAAAGAGGGUGAGUUGGCUCAUCUAACAUCUAUAUUCUACAAAUUUUGGGGUAAUGGUAUGGAUUAGGUACAUAUUUGGUGAUUUUUCAUUGGGUUUGGGGGAGAAUUCGUUUCUCCCGAAUUCUAUUGGUCCACCAAACCCAAAUUGGUGAGGAUUGAGGACAAAAACGAAGCUGGAUGGGGGAAUUCAAAAUUAAAAUGGGCUAUUUUUGGAAAUCCCUGGAAUGCCCUCAAUCCCUUCUAUAAAAGGGCUCAUGGAGAGCCAAGAAAGGGUUUCGAUUUUCAUGAAUGAAGGUUGGUAAAGAGAGGGAUGCAAAAAAAGAAAAUUAAGAGAGGCAGAAGAGAAUUUUGAGAGCAACAAUUCCUUUUAGUAGAAAGAUUCUCGUUUCUUUCUUCUUUUGAGAGUUAGCUGAUUAAUUGGAGUGUCUCGAGUUGAUAACACUGAGCUCCAGCGGUGGUCGACAUCCUGACAAUUAGCUCAUUGCCCCGUUUUGCUUUCCCAAAGGAGGUAAACUCUCUCGUCCUUGUAAUUCCAUUGUUUUUUGCUUCAUCCCCCUUUCUCCAUAGAAUUAGUUCAAUUAUUUAGUAAUAAUCAUGAAUGAGGCUGGGUUUUGUCUGCUAUAGAUAGUCGUAAUGGCCUUAGGGGUUCUUUUGUGAUUAUUGUUAUGCCAUCUUGCUGAGGCAGUGCUCACAUUGUAAUUCUCAAUGCGAUUGUGUCUAAUAUACUAUCUUUUAAUUGACAUUGUUGGUUACCUGAGAGUUUGUGGUAUGAAUCUACAUAUAUAUCAUCAAGAUUUUGCCUUUCGUGUUUCGUUUCCCUUUCUGAUUUAGUGUUUCUUGCUACGUUAGGCUAACUAUUAUUAUAAUCAUUUGAUCCAUGAUUUUUGCCUCAUUUUGCUUCCCUCGGUUUUGCAAUCUAUUGUUCAAACCUCAAUAUGGUUGGUUAAUUAUUUACCCAUCGUUUCUUUUUGCAUGCUGCUUAUGGUUUGAUUCACUGUCUCUAUGUUUGAACAUCCUUAUUUUAUUCUAAGUUACGUCUUCUUGAGUGUAACUUCGCUUUGAUUCACCCCAAUUUUCUUGAGUCUUGUCCUUAAUUCGAGGUCACCGGUGGUGCUUUAAUUUCCUAGAUCAGCUGGACUCAGACUACCUCAUAGCUCUGGACUUUUAAGAUUGAUAGAGAUGAUGGGUAUAUAUCUUUGGUAAGUUGACAAUCCUAUGAACUCUUGAUGACCCUGCUUUCGACUUUCGAAAAUUCAUUUCGAGUUGAGGCUGAAAAGAGGGUGAGGAGGGCCUCGCAGAUGUAUUUCUGAAGUGCGAAUCGCGUUCUUGUUGGGUGUUGACUAAAAAAAGAAGAAAAUGUUGUUUUGUUCCUUCUUUGCAAAUAACUUAGCCUAGAUGUUUAUUGUCCUUUUCACUUGCUUGGUUUUAUCGAAUUUGAGUUUUUCUUAGAGAAGCAAUUGUUCCCAAAAAAAGCCAUGUGAGUUUUGUAGACUGAACACUUCAUUUCUCUUUCUAGAUAUAUGAUCGGGAUGAUACACAUGUUUUAACUUAAUUAUAAAUCUAGAUAAGCUGACUUAUGUGGCUUUGCAGUACAUCAAUUACCUGUUGUAGCUUAAAAUUAUGCAGACUUAUGAGUUGAUCGAUUCAAUUAAUUAGGCAUCGAUUGGUUCAUUUCUUCAUCUGAGAUGAUUACCCUUAAGGAUGGGUCAUCUUAUGUACCGAUUAAGCAACUUUUCAGAGGUUCCUUGAAUUUAUUCUACUCAGUAUUUGUUACAUGUAAUUGAACAUAAUUCAUACAUUAGUGAUUGAAGGUUUAAUUAGUUGUCAGGUGUUCCAAACUUUAAGAAUAUCUAAUGUUGAACAGUUGCACCAAAAACAUUGGCGUGCUUCAAAUAAUUAGUCCACAGUGGUUAUAGACGUGUGGGUGUUUUAUUAGCUGAAAUGUAAAGUCCAUCUAUAUCUUGCAUACGGUCUCUUCUUCCUGAAUUGAUCUAGACACGCCUUAUUAUUUUCCAUUGGCUAUUGAUUGUUGAUUAGGAUCGUAUUACGUUGUUUCUUUUAGUUAAUCGUUUGUUAAUUCUUAUUUCUUUCUUUGUUGAUCAUGUCUCCUUACCUUUGUUGAAUAUAUAUUAAUGUAUUUUAUUUCUUCUUUGUUUGUAUGUAAAUCCAUUUCGGAGCCCCAAUGGGUUCUUUCCCUUUGCAUCUAAAUGGGCCAUUGAGGCCCACUAUGUCUAUUGGGUCAACCCCAAAAGGAAAUUCAAAGCCAGUUACAUAGCAUAUGGAUACAAGGAGUCGAAAGAAGAGAAAUGGGUUAAAGUCCCAUUCUUGAAGAGACGCCGAAACCCGAGCCUCAUUUCUGUUUAUUUAUUUGUUGUCAUUAUUUAUUUAUUGUUUUCAUAUUUAUUUAUUUAUUUAGUUGUUCAUUUGGGCCUCGAAGCCAAAUCUGUAGACUAAUACAGGUGGAGAAAACUCGAGCCACGGGCUCGAAAACUAGAUUAGGAUAGGUGAAAUGGGUCAAAGGCCCAAUUAGACUAGGACAAGUCUCAUUGAUUUGGGCCCAAUGGUCUAAAUCCCUUCCUUUCUCCCUUUCCCUUUUUUCUUUAUGCUUGUUUGCCUUACGUGUUUUGCAAACCUAGUUAAAUCCUUAGACAAGUCGCUAAAAAACUGGUUUUGCAUAAACACCAAAAUAUUCCUAAAAUCACUUUCUUUUCAAAAAUCAACUUCUUUCAAGGUUAAUCAAAGACGAUUUUCAAACAGUUCAGAUAACAACAAGUUAGCGGACGUUUUAGGUGCCUAACACUUUCCUAAAACGUUAAUAGGAACCUCUUACUUAGAAUCUCUAACUUAAACGAUUUUCCUAUUUUGAAUUGUCUAAGUAUUUUAUAAAGUUUUCUUAAUUCCUCUUCAAAAUUAAGUGGCGACUCUUUCAAAAGUCAAAAUUUCUUCGUAAAACAGAAAUGGCGACUCUGCUGGGGAUUUUUUAACUAGGUUCUAAUUAACUGUUUAUGUGUUUAUGUGUUUUGAUUCUGUAAAGUUCAAUUAUUGCAUCUCAUGACAUAUUUUUACAUUAUUUAAACUGUCUUGGGGUUUCGUGGAUGUCCCGGCCCCUAUUGAUCAAUUCUAAUAAUGUGUUAGAAAUGUGAAUGGCUUAUUAGCACGUGAGUCGUCUGAUGGCUGUUCGUAUUUUCAAACUAAAGUUAUCUACUUGAGAACCAGUAUUCAAACCCACUCUAGACACCCAGGAUAGAAUGAAACCAAAAUCCUAUUUUAGGCAUGAACCUAGGACGACCCAAUACCCGAGCAGGGUAUUGGGCCCAUUAGAAAACUUGCCUUACGUCUAUUGACCCCGAGACAAUUAUAGACGAACGAUUUUUAUAUGUUGAAGAAAAUAUAUGUCUGUCUAAUUCAAUCCAUUAUCCUUUAGGGGUCGGGAAAAAUCUUGAUUUGCUUACUUUCGUAAGAAGAAUUAAAGCAAGUUGAGCAAGAAAUUGAUUGAUUUGGGAGGUUACAUUUAAGGCACAGUUUGAACGUCAACGUAUGUAACCAAUAUAAUAAAUGAACGUAGCUAAGAAGGCGAAGGCUGAUAAAAAAAGAACCCAGGAGUUAGUAUUUUCUAUCCCCUGUGUGGGAACGUGUCUUCUUUCAUGUUAUUUUCUUUUCUCUAAAGAUUGUAUUCCUCUUUUGUUAUCUUUUGUAGGUAUUUAUGCCCUUUUAGUGUCUAUAAAAGUUGGGGGAUAAUGGAUUGACCUUAAAUAAGAAUAUAUUUUUCUUCGAAAAUCAUUAGGCACAAACCCUUGGCUCAAAAGGGUCACCCCACUUUGGAUACGCAUUAUUAUAAUGUUUUUAUAACUGUCUUAUGUGUUUAUGUGCGUUUGUUUGGAUCAAAGGCAAGUUUAUCCUCUAGGCUCCUAUGGAUGAAUUUGGCUAUGACACAAACAACUCUAUAUGUCUAUUUCUUUCAAGUAUUUUGCAUUGCAUAUCACAUGUGGAAACUAACACAUUUGCCUUUGAGUUGUUUUACUUUACAGAUAAUAGAAAAACUACUUCGUGUUGAAAUAAGCUGGCAGAACAUCCUUACUUCACGCUGUCAAAAGCGCACAAAAUCCCAUCAUCUGACCAUCAUUCAAUAAUGACUGGAAAUGAUGAAGAAAAUACAUUGACUAUCAAGGACAAUGUAAUAACAGAACAGAGUGAGAUGAUUGCGGAACUCACAAGAAAGCUAGAGAUGCUUCAGGAGGAAAUAAAUCGUACUCGAGAUUUGGUUAACUUGGCCAUCACUAUCAAUGCUCCCUCUUCAGGAGGACACGGGACUCCGCUCCAAAUCCCUUCCCUCAGUAUGCCUAUUCUUUGGGAUCAGCCAAAUAAUAUAUCAUUCGUCUCUGUCCCUCUACUUGUCCAAAAUACCAAUCGUGAAAAUAACCCAGAUGCUUACCAUCCACAAAAUCCAUCCCUUGCCCCAUAAAACUCUUCUCCGAAUCUAAAAAAUUCAAUCCCAAAUCCCCAGAACCCAUUGUUAAAUCCACAAAAUCUAUCCCUAAAUCCAUCAAAUCUACCUCUGAAUCCACCAAAUUCGUUUCCAAAUCUCCAAAAUCCUUCUCAAAUUCCACCAAACUACUCUCAAAUUCCACAGAGUUUUUCCAAUUUUCAAAACGCCCUCCCAACCUACCAACCAACUUCCUUUCAUCCACGAAAUCAAGCCUUCUUCUAUAUCCUCCUCAAUUCAUCAUAUCUCCUGACAUUUAUAAUGUCCUUCCUAAUCUUGAGAUAGACCAUUAUGACGAGAAAGAGAAGGAGUGGAGGACCAAGCAUAAAAAGAAGUUUCUAUCCAUGAAUGAAGAGAUCACGAGAAUCAAGGAAUCUCACUGGGCAGGUGAUAAUAAUGCUUUGGGGUACGAUGAUUUGUGUGUGCACCCCGGAGUAGAUCUACCAGAAGGUUAUAAGAUCCCUAAAUUUGAAGUGUUUAACGGUACCGGAAAUCUAAUGGCCCAUCUAAGAAGGUAUUAUGAUCAGAUGGUUGGGAUAGGAAGAAAUGAGGCAUUAUUGGUGCGCUUAUUCAGUCGAAGCUUAAACGGCGAAGCCUUAGAUUGGUUCAUGUCUGAAGAACUGAAAAGAUGGUCUAAUUGGAAGGCGUUGGCUAAAAGUUUUCUCGUUAAAUUUACAUUUAACAUUGAGAUAGUCCCUGAUCAAUACUCACUAGAUCGUAUUAAGCAGAAGAAUGAUGAGAGCUUUCGAGACUACGCCUUCUAUUUGAGGAAAGAGGCUGCUAAAGUACAAUUUCCUAUGUUUGAGGAGGAGAUGGUAUCCAUAUUCUCCCAUGCUCAGGAGGGAGAAUUUUAUACUAGGAUGGUAUCCACUGUCAAGGAUACAUUCGCAGAUUUGGUAAAAAUUGGGGAAUCUUUAGAAAAAGGCAUUCAAACAGGAAAGAUUGUCAAAACUCCAAAAUAUCAUCUGGGACUUCCAUGUUCCCAAAGAAGAAAAGGAAAGACGUAGGUCAGGUCUGUACUAAUUCUUUCAAUAAAUUGAAGAGGAAAUUCAAGCCUAGGAAUAUUCUUUCCUCACCACCGUUACCAAUUCUUCAGCCUAUAUUCUAUGCCCAACCCCAAUAUCAAGCUCCAUGUCCCUAGUGUCAAGUUCUGUAGCCAAAUUAUCAGUCUCAUGUUCAAGCUACUAUUCCAAACAAUCAAAUAAACUUUCAAGUGCCUCCAAACUAUCAUCAAGUACCUCCUCCUGCUAAUCAAAAUCAGUGUAACCCCCCACAUAUAAACCUUGAAAAGAAGCCCCUUAGAAAAUUUACUUCAUUGGCUGAAAGUCGUACCCAGCUCUUCGGAAGAUUGAUGAAGGCUGGUUAUUUACAGCCUAUUCCACCAAAGCCUACCAAUCUUAAUUCUCGAUUCUAUCAUGCCGAUCAAAAUUGUGCCUAUCAUUUAGGAGUAGCGGGGCACAUUACCGAGGAUUGUAUUAACUUGAAACAUAAGAUCCAAGAUUUGAUCGAUCAGAAGGUCAUCACGCUUCAGUCGUCGACACCAAAUAUUAACAGUAAUCCAUUGCCUAAUCACGGGGGACCUACAGUUAAUAUGAUUGAAAUAGAGGGUGAAUGGGCAUCUAGCAAGGCCAUCACUAAGGUAAAUUCAGAAGGACUCAAAAGAACAGAAGAAGUGGAGAAGAUAGAGAAAGUUGUGGCCGCCUUAAGUAGGGAUUUAGAAGGAAUUAUUGAGCCUGUUAUGGUCCCCGAAAAAGCAUUUAAGCAGGGAAUAGAGUACCAAUUAAGAAAGGAAGAAGAGACCAAAGAUUAUUCAAAGGAGAGUCUGUUUAGGCCCUUGCCGCUCUUGUACCAGUCAUUUCCCAUACAUGAGAUGUCAAACGGUGAUGGUCUUAGGGAUGGGAUAGGAGAUCUGUUCGAAGGAUGAUAUGCUCUACCAGAUGAUUUCCCAAAGUCCAGUGGGGUAAGCCUUACAAAAAUGGACCUCCAUUCCACUCAUAACCCGUCACCCAUCAUGGUAGAUGAAAGGGCAAUUACUAAUAGUUUUUAAAACCAGUGAUGAUCCAGAGGAGGCCCCGUGAUCCACCUUUUUAUGUCUCAAAUUUUUGUUUCUUAUUUUACAACUUUCAAAAAGGCAUGGGCCCACAUUUGUAUGGGUCAUGAGCCAUAGUUUUUAUUUACUUUCCAAAAGGUCUCCCUUAUUUAAGAAGUUAUUUUUUAAAACAUGAUUAUCUAGCAUGUUUUAUUUUGGUAGCAAUAAUUUAAAAAUCUACCAAUGUCAUGUCAUGUCAAGGGUUAGACGAACAAAGCGAAGGAAAUAAUGAUGAACAGAAAAGGUGACAAGGAGCAGUUAGUAGUAGAUAUAGAGGAAUGUGAAAAUCAAAAGAAGCCCAACCUGGAGGAGCCCUAAUCCUACCUGAGAUAGAUGGUCAAGAGUGGACCAAACCAAUCAAUUCUGAUGCGGUAAAGAGAUAUUAUGCUUGAAAGAUAUUAUAGUUUUUGUGUCUUGGAUUAUUUGUAAUCACCUUUAUAAUAGUAUCAAUUUUAUGAUGCGUAAUUUCCUAGAACCCCUUCCCUUUAUGUACGAACUACGUUUGUCCUGAAUUUCCAAAAAAGGGUACAUAGGCGGCCUAUGUCGGCUUCAGUCAACCCCUUAGGAAAAUUUAUCAUUUUCUUUUAUUUACAAACUACCUUUGACCUGAAUUCCCAAAAAAAGAGAUACAUAGGCGGCCUAUGUCGGCUUCGGUCAACCCGUUAGAUUUUUCUAUAUAUCCUUAGCGUAGUCUUGAACUAUGGUUGACUUGAUUCCUGCUUCAACGGGAUACGUAGGCGCCCGAAUGGCUCUGUCAUUAACCCCAGGAAAUGGAAAUUGGGUUAGAAUUUUUGAGAAGAAAUCUCAAAAAUUUGCAAGAGAAGAUCAACAUUCAACAAAGAGAACGAAGACCAAUAAAGAAUUCAGAUCCUCUCGAGUUGGCAUCGUAUCAAACAACUUUAAAAUGGGGCAAAAAUUUUGAGGGAGGCCUAAAAAUUUCCACCAAAUACUGGAAUAUAUUUCAAAUUCCCCAGCACUAGAGGUCGAAGUCGAGAUUUGAGAAUCACCACCUAUUAUAAAGUCUAGGUAAACUAAAUCUUCGGCUAUGACGAAACCAUUUGUAGAACCCUCCAACAAUGAUGAUGAGUUCUGGAACUCCUCCAUCGGAUACAGUCAAAACUAAGAGGAAUAUGUUCGUUGAGCUAGUACAUGACAAACUGACAGAGAUUUUUGAAAGCUUUUAUAGAAACUUUCAAAACUAUUUGCUAAAAAUAAGACUACUUUUGAAAAAUCUUUACAAAAUCUUUUACUUAGUGAUUGCCUAGACGUCUAUAGGAGCAGGGAGCCAGGGUGAAGGUACCAACAUGGUAGAGUACCCAAAAGAUGGCGUGGAGCAAAAGGAGAAUCGAAGAAGGUCAACACGGAGUAGUUUCACUCAAACUAAUUAUUUUUCUGUAGAUGCAGGGACCAAUACACAAAAAUAAGAGUCUCUUUAAAAAAUCUCCGAGAAAAUUGGGAGACACACCAGAGCACUAAUGCUCAAGAAUAGUAUUUUUAGGUAGCCCUAAAAAUGAGUUUAAUACCCAUUUGUUAAGGACCUGUUGAAUUGUCCAUCUCACUUUUUGAGAUCAUGGAGGACAAACAAAACUGUCUUGUCUUCUUUACAAAUAUUGUAUUUAGAGUUUUUCUAAAAAAUAGUCGCUAGCAAAAGCGACUUUGUAUCUACUAAUCGUCUACCUUGAGUACAGGUACAUGUAAAAAGCAAGACACAGACAAACAAACUCAGGUGAAACUAUUUUCAAAUUGUCAAGAGGGUCAUUCAUAUCAUCGCCGAGAGGGACAAUUCGUAUCAUUACCGAGAGGGCCAUUUCAUAUCAUUGCCAAGAGGGCCACUUCAUAGCAUUGCCGAGAGGGCCAUUUCAUUACUAAGAGGGUCAUUCAUAUUAUUUGCCGAGAGGGCUAUUUUAUAUCUGUUGACACGUAAGACAUAAAUACUGGCAUCGAAGAUAUCAUCAGUAUUUUAUAUCUGUUGACACGCAAAGACAUAAAUGCUGGCAUCGAGGAUAUCAUCGGUAUUUUAUAUUUGUUGACACACAAAGACAUAAAUGCUGGCGCCGAGGAUAUCAUUCCAUUUUAUAUCUGUUGACGCGCAAGACAUAAACGCUGGCGUCGAGGAUAUCAUCAGCAUUUCAUAUCUGUUGACACGCGAGACAUAAACUAUGGUGUCGAGGUUAUUUCAUCAUUUUAUGCAUCAACAUCUGAAUGCAUCAAGAGCACACGAUUUUAAGGGACACUUUUAAGUCGCUAUCUAAGAAUGGAUAAUAUAUAAGAUUUCCUAGAAAUUGACAAUUUAAGGGUCAUCUAAAAGUCAUAUUAUUUGAAAUAGGAUAGUGUGAAAGAUCACCUAUGAUUUGAUAGCCUAUAGGUCAUCCGUAAGCCACAACAACAUCCUAACCGGAUAGUGUGCAAGAUCGCCCAAAAAUCGAUAGUCUGGAGGUUAUCCAUAAGUCGCAACUAAAUCCUUACUAGAGAAUAUGCGAGAUUAUCAAAUUGAUAUGUCCAAGGGUUCUCUAUAAGCCGCAUCAUAUCCAAGAUCGAUUAUGUGCAGGAUUACCCAAGGACUAGCAAUUUGAGCGAUAUCUAUAAGUCAUAUUGUAUCCAAGGUUAGAUGAUGUGCAGGAACACCUGAAAGCUAGCGAUUGCAGGCAUAUCUAUAAGCCAUCUCUUAUCCAAGGUUGAAUAAUGUGUGGGAUUACCUAGAGGCUAGCAAUUUAAAGGAUAUCUGUAAGUCACCUCGUAUCCAACAUCAAAUAAUGUGCAAAAUUAUUCAAAGAUUAACAAUUUAAGGGAAAUUUAUAAGUAGAUCAUCGGCUAUAACCGGAGAGGUUAUCAUUCCACAUACAACAAGUGAUAUAGGCAACUAAAAGGGUUGCCACACCAGCACAAGAUUACACGAUUGUAGGGACCGUUCCGCAUAAAGUAUCGUUGGUGUCCAAAAGGGCCACCCCACUUUGAAGACAUAUUCGCUCGACAAAUGAGCUAAUUAUGCAACAACCAAUAAGGUUGGUGUGUCUGUUAUUGCGAGUUAUUUCCUACCGAAUAGGUACAAGAAAGGAUGACUUUGCUUUUAGACAACAGCUUACGCGAAGAUAUGGUAAAAAACUAUACACCUCUUUUGUGAAUUGGGCUUAUUACUAAUGAUUUUUUGUUUGAGAUAUUGUCGAGAGGAUCCGAGCGGACGAAAAUCUCAAAUCAAAACCACAGGUGCGGACGACUCCAAAAAGGACGCAGCACAACAUGGAACUCUUUCUUAGCAGCAAAAUGAGACAUAGUCUAAAGAGGGACGUCAAACUCUUUGGACGCGAGUUAAGGAUGAUCACCACCACCAUCCAACCACACCUCUGUUAGAAGGCAUGUGGGUAUUUCAGGAUAUUCUAGUUUCAGCUUCACCUUCGAGAUAUUUCUAAACUCUUGUCGAGGGUAGCAUUCUCCUUCUUUCAAAUUCAGGUGGCAACACACUUAGAGUUUUGGAAAUUAAGACCAGAUAAAUUCUUACCUAUGGAUGUGAAGAUCUCCAUGUUCAUGGUUAAGAGUUUACAAGCCUCUUUUCCAUAACUCGAUCAACUUGUCACUCAUCUUGAGCCAAAGAUCGUCUGAAAUAAAAGACUAUUUUUUUUUCAAUUGAGUUGAACUACAACCAGUCUGAUUCCCUAAGUCUUAGGGAUAUGUAGGCUGGGAUCUAUGCAAAAAACUCUACUGCAUUCCAACCUCCCACCAAAUCCCUUUAUUCCCUAGCUUCUCGGUUUAACUAAAAACUCUGAAACCGUGAUACUUUCAUGCUUUAAAUCAAGCUUUAUGAACUACAAGUGGCCUGAAUUCCUACGUAACCUAAGAUAUGUAGGAAACCUAAUACCGAGGUUCGUCCAUAACUCCAUGAAACUCAUGCGAAAAACAAACUCUUUCAGAUUCGAAUUUGUGGUCGGACAAAAAUUAGGAGUGUCAACCUCUCUUUGCCCAGGGUUACUUGCAUCCACCCUACCCAAAGGGAGGGGGAAGUUGUUGACACCUACUUUUUGCCCUCCUCAACUACGUUAAAUCUCGAGUUUCUACGAUUUUCAAAUAAAAUCACAACAAUUAUUUUUUCCAAAUAAAUGCAUUUUAAAUAUGUAUUUAGGCUAAAUUUGUUAUUUAAGUGAUAAUUAUAUAUUUUCGUAUUUACAUAUCCGAGAUUAUAUAAAUGAUAUCAUUUAAAUGAACAUUCUCAUCAAUGUCUAAUUUUAAUUAAGGAUAAUCUUUGAAAAUAAAUGUAAUAAUUAAUAUCUUGAUUCAAAUAUAAUGUAAUCUCAAAAAUAAUUUAUUUGGAUAAAUAUGUAUUUGAUUUUAUUAAAUCGAGAAGCUCGGGAUUAAAUUAGGUAUUGAUUCAAAUUGGAUUUCAAUUUAAUUUUGGCCAUAAUUGAAAUUAAAUCGACCACAAUUGCAAUGCAAUUGGCCAAUUAAUCUUCAAUUUGAUCAAAAAAUAAAAUGAAAUUGGCUAAUCCCUAAUCUAUCUGAGGCUAUUUAUUAAAUAACCCCAAAAGUUACCCAACUACCAAAUUCCUUCCUAAUCUGUCCAAUUUUGGCCCAAAUAUCUUUCUUGAUCAAUAUCCCAUUUGUUCCCAACUUCAACAGCCCAUUUCAACAACACAAGCCCAAAUCCCAUCCAUCCCACUCCCUUUAACCCAUUCACCAGCCCAACAACAAAUUAAUAACUACCCAGGCCCACUCCAAUGUUAACCCAAUUGCAGACCCAACCCAUUUCAGUUGUUGUCUUCAUCAAAACAGCCUUCACCCAAUCUCAACACCGACCAGCUUCAAUAACCAUUAACCCGCCCCGACCUUCUAACUUGAUCAAUAGCUCUAACUCAUCAAAAUCUAUCAAAUCAACCUACAACCAACCUAUCUUAAUCCUCUUCACGCAUCCCACGUGAUGUUGUACCAUGGAAGAUCGGAGAAGCUUCUAGAAAGAGGGUGAGUUAGCUCAUCUAACAUCCAUAUUUAACAAAUUUUGGGGUAAUGGUAUGGAUUAGGUACAUAUUUAGCGAUUUUUCAUUGGGUCUGGGGGAGAAUUUAUUUAUCACCAAUUCUAUUGGUCCACCAAACUCAAAUUGGUGCGGAUUGAGGACAAAAAUAGAGCUGGAGGGGGGAAUUCAAAAUUAAAAUGGGCUAUUUUUGGAAAUCCCUGGAAUGCCCUUAAUCCCUUCUAUAAAAGGGCUCACGGAGAGCCGAGAAAAGGGUUUGAUUUUCGUGAAUGAAGGUUGGUAAAGAGAGGGAUUCGAAAAAAGAAAAUUAAGAGAGGCAGAAGAGAAUUUUGAGAGGAAAAAUUCCUUUUAGUAGAAAAAUUCUCGUUUCUUUCUUCUUUUGAGAGUUAGAUGAUUAAUUGGAGGGUCUCGAGUUGAUAACAUUGAGCUUCGACGGUGGUCGACAUCCUGACAAUUAGCUCGUUUCCUCGUUUUGCUGCCCCGAAGGAGGUAAACUCUCUCGUCCUUGUAAUUCCAUUGUUUUUUACUUCAUCCCCCUUUCUCCAUAGAAUUAGUUCAAUUAUUCAGUAAUAAUCAUGAAUGAGGCUGGAUUUUGUCUGUUGUAGAUGGUCGUAAUGGCCUUAGGGGUUCUUUUGUGAUUAUUGUUAUGCCAUCUUGCUGAGGCAGUGCUCAUGUUUUAAUUCUCAAUGUAAUUAUGUCGAAUAUACUGUCUUUUAAUUGACGUUGUUGGUUACCUGAGAGUUUGUGGUAUGAAUCUACAUAUAUAUCAUCAAGAUUCUGCCUUUCGUGUCCCGUUUCCCUUUCUGAUUUAGUGUUUCUUGCUACGUUAGGCUAACUAUUGUUAUAAUCAUUUGAUCCAUGAUUUUUGCCUCACUUUACUUCCCUCGAUUUUGUAAUAUAUUGUUCAAACCUCAAUAUGGUUGGUUAAUUAUUUACCCAUUGUUUCAUUUUACAUGCUACUUAUGGUUUGAUUCACUGUCUCUAUGUUUAAGUAUCCUUAUUUUAGUCUAAGUUACGUCUUCUUGAGUGUACCUUCGCUUUGAUUCACCCCAGUUUUCUUGAGUCUUGUCCUUAAUUCGAGGUCACCGGUGGGGCUUUAGUUCCCUGGAUCAACUGGACUCAGACUACCUCAUAGCUCUUGACUUUUGAGAUUAAUAGAGAUGAUGGGUAUACGUCUUUAGUAAGUUGACAGUCCUAUGAACUCUCGAUGACCCUGCUUUCGACUUUUAAAAAUUCAUUUCUAGUUGAGGCCGGAAAGAGGGUGAGGAGGGCCUCACAGAUGUAUUUCUGAAGUGUGAAUCGCGUUCUUAUUGGGUGUUGACUGAAAAAAGAAGAAAAUGUUGUUUUGUUCCUUCUUUGCAAAUAACUUCGCCUAGAUGUUUAUUGUCCUUUUCACUUUCUUGGUUUUAUCGAAUAUGGUUUUUUUUAGAGAACCAUUGCUCCUAAAAAAAAUGAUGCGAGUUUUGUAGUCUGAACAGUUCAUUUCUCCUUCCAGAUAUAUGAUCGGGAUGAUAUGCAUAUUUUAACUUAAUUAUAAAUCUGGAUAAGUUGACUUAUGUGGAUUUGUAGUACAUCAAUUACCUGUUGUAGCUUAAAAUUGUGCAGACUUAUGAGUUGAUCGAUUCAAUUAAUUAGGCAUCGAUUGGUUCAUUUCUUCAUCUGAAAUAAUUACCCUUAAGGAUGGGUCAUCUUAUGUAUCGAUUAAGCAACUUUUAAGAGGUUUCUUGAAUUUAUUCUACUGAGUAUUUGUUACAUGUAAUUGAACAUACUCCAGACAUUAGUGAUUGAAGGUUUAAUUAGUUGUCAGGUGUUCCAAACUUUACGAAUCUCUGAUGUUGAACAGUUGCACCAAAAACAUUGGCAUGCUUCAAAUAAUUAGUCCAAAGUGGUUACAGACAUGUGGGUGUUUUAUUAGCUGAAAUGUAAAGUCCAUCUUUAUCUUGCAUAUGGACUCUUCUUCCUGAAUUGAUCUAGACACGCCUCAUUAUUUUCCAUUGGCUAUUGAUUGCUGAUUAGGAUCGUAUUACGUUGUUUCUUUUAGUUAAUCGUGUGUUAAUUCUUAUUUCAUUCUUUGUUGAUCAUGUCUUAAUUACCGUUGUCUUUCCUCCUCGAAUUAACCAUGUAUAAACUAUUCUAGUUUCCUAUUUUGGUGAGCAUGCAUUGAUUUCCUUUACGUUUCCUUUCUCCUUACCUUUAUUGAAUAUAUAUUAAUGUAUUUUAUUUCUUCUUUCUUUGCAUUUAAAUCCAUUUCGAAGCCCCAAUGGGUUCUUUCCCUUUGCAUCUAAAUGGGCCAUUGAGGCCCACUAUGUCUAUCGAGUCAACCCCAAAAGAAAAUUCAAAGACGGUUACAUAGCAUAUGGAUACAAGGAGUCAAAAGAAGAGAAAUGGGUUAAAGUCCCAUUCUUGAAGAGACGACAAAACCCGAGCCUCAUUUCUGUUUAUUUAUUUGUUGUCAUUAUUUAUUUAUUGUUUUCAUAUUUAUUUAUUUAUUUAGUUAUUCAUUUGGGCCUCGAAGCCAAAUCUGUAAACUAAUACAGGUGGAGCAAUUUCGAGCCACGGGCUCGAAAACUAGAUUAGGACAGGUGAAAUGGGUCAAAGGCCCAAUUACUAGGACAGGUCUUAUCGAUUUGGGCACAAUGGUCUAAAUCCCUUCCUUUCUCCCUUUCCCUUUUUUCUUUAUGCUUGUUUGCCUUACGUGUUUUGUGAACCUAGUUAAAUCCUUAGACAAGUCGCUAAAAAACUGGUUUUGCAUAAACACCAAAAUAUUCCUAAAAUCGCUUUCUUUUCUAAAAUGAACUUCUUUCAAGGUUAAUCAAAGAUGAUUUUCAAACAGUUCGGAUAAGCGCAAGUUAGCAGACGUUUUAGGUGCCUAACACCUUCCUAAAACGUUAAUAGGAACCUCUUACUUAGAAUCUCUAACUUAAACGAUUUUCCUAUUUU